rnacentral:rRNA from 1 species
GAUGAACGCUGGCGGCGUGUCUAAGGCAUGCAAGUCGAAAGGGUUUAGACCCUUGGCAAACGGGAGCGUAACACAUUGGUAACAUACCCUCAACUGGAGGAUAACCCGCCGAAAGGUGGGAUAAUACUCCAUUAAUUGGUUCGUCUUAUGGCGGAUCAAUAAAGAUUUAUCGGUUGAGGAGUGGCCUAUGGUCUAUCAGCUAGUUGGUAGUGUAAAGGACUACCAAGGCUAUGACGGAUAGCGGGUGUGAGAGCACGACCCGCCUCACUGGGACUGAGAAACUGCCCAGACACCUACGGGUGGCUG